rnacentral:rRNA from 1 species
GACGAACGCUGGCGGCGUGCUUAACACAUGCAAGUCGAACGGAAAGGCCCUGCUUUUGUGGGGUGCUCGAGUGGCGAACGGGUGAGUAACACGUGAGUAACCUGCCCUUGACUUUGGGAUAACUUAAGGAAACUGGGGCUAAUACCGGAUAGGAGUUCCUGCUGCUUGGUGGGGGUUGGAAAGUUUCGGCGGUUGGGGAUGGACUCGCGGGUGAUCGGCUUGUUGGUUGGGUGGUGGGUUACCAAGGUUUUGACCGGUGGCCGGCCUGGGAGGGGGAGCGGCCACAUUGGGACUGGGAUACGGCCCAGACUCCUACGGGAGGCAGCAGUGGGGAAGAUUGCACAAUGGGCGGAAGCCUGAUGCAGCAACGCCGUGUGCGGGAUGACGGCCUUCGGGUUGUAAACCGCUUUCGCCUGUGACGAAGCGUGAGUGACGGUAAUGGGUAAAGAAGCACCGGCUAACUACGUG